GCCGUUGUUGAUUUUGAUUACAAGCCAUGACUGGCAAGCGGGCAGGAAGCAUCCCGAACGAACAUGUGUCCUCUUCCCUCCCUCCAUGGGAACUCUGCUCUCUUAGCACCCACUACGCUUUGCCAGGUGCCCCCCGACCCACCCCAGACCCGCGGCUGCAAAAAGAGGGGUGUGCGCGCUAGCCCUUCGGGUCUGCUGACCGCUGGGAGCAGAACCUUUGCUCUUUACUGAGCGCCCAGGCUGCAGGUCGAGCACUUUCCUUCCCCAACUCCCCAGGCUCUUGGGUGCUGGCCGCAAGGUACAGACAAAGGAGCCGACGGUGAUCUGUGGACCUCGGUGGCCCCGUGAUUUAAGCAGAGGGUAAUUUUCAUUUGGUUCGUUAGGCUCUAGCAGAAUAAGGAAAACUAUUUCAUUAAACCCUUCCUCUCGGUGGACAAGAGGAGGAAUGCUUAGUUGAAUCGCCGGGUGGUGUAAACAAACCCUGGAUAUUUUAUAUGAAUUAAAUGUGUAGAUAAUUAGUUUUAUUGCAUUCAUUACCCCCUUUAUGUGCUCUGUAACAAGUCAGUAAUUAAAGUAACAAACUCAUAAAGUCUUUAUAGGGGCAUUUAGGCGUUCAGUGUUUGCCAAACUAAGUGGUUUAAUUCGAUGCUAGUGCUGGGGAGCGGAUGGGCGCCCGCUCUCCGCUGCCACCGUGUUUUAUUGCGCACUAAACUGCAGCGGACGCUGUAAUGGAUUAAAGAGGGACAGGGGCCCCCCAGCCUGGGGCUUCCGUGCGGGCACAGCGAGGCCGCGGACUGCCAAAGGCUCAACUCAGAACCAACGGUUCCCUCAACUGGAGAAUUCAAAGGCGAGAUUUGUCCUUGGGUUUCUCCAAAAAGAUUUCUGUGGGCAGCAGCCUUUCCCGUUCACCUGCACCAAGAAAAUAACCUCGUCAGAAUUUAUCGAGACGACAUUUCCCCGGGUCCAUGGAGCAAACCAACCACAGCAUCUUCCAAGCAGGAAGAGCCACUGACACAGACCUUCUCCUGGCAUCUUAGAGUUUUUUUCCACAUUUUCCAUUUGCCUAGCAACCAUAAUACACGUUUCAUAAUAGAAAUUCCUUGUAUUUCUGGUAACUAACCUCCUGGCCUGGGGGGACUAACAAUUAUUAACUGAUUGACAAUAGUGUGUGCCGAGCAAUUAGCACAGUGCUUGGCACCUGGAAAGAAUCCCGGGAAUGUGGGACAUGAGGAUUAUGACGAUGGCCAUGAGGAUGGUGCUGGAGUCUCCUUGGAUUGUGUAGUAAACACUUCGGGAUUUAGGCGGUGAUGGACCAUGUCCUUCCUGUUGCGUGUUUAUGAUGCAUAUGAAAGAGGACAGACAAAUCGAAGAGCAGGCUCUCAGAUAUCAGAUGGGAGAAAACAAAGCAGCCGGGCAGCAAAUUUCCCUUUUAAGAAUUUACUGGAAGGUGUGUUUCUGUAUAGAGGUUAGUUAUAUGUUUUCUCUUAGUUUAUACCCAAUAAUCAUGCAUGAUUAAUGGGUUGCAUUACUCCCGUGUAUAAAUAUUAUGCGUUCAGAGUCACGUCACUUUAAAAGGCCUUUGUCCAAAAAAAAAUAAAUAAAAUAAAAUAUAAAUAAAUAAAUAAAUA
rnacentral:lncRNA from 12 species